rnacentral:rRNA from 1 species
UACGUAGGUGGCGAGCGUUGUCCGGAUUUACUGGGCGUAAAGGGAGCGUAGGCGGACUUUUAAGUGAGAUGUGAAAUACUCGGGCUCAACUUGGGUGCUGCAUUUCAAACUGGAAGUCUAGAGUGCAGGAGAGGAGAAUGGAAUUCCUAGUGUAGCGGUGAAAUGCAUAGAGAUUAGGAAGAACACCAGUGGCGAAGGCGAUUCUCUGGACUGUAACUGACGCUGAGGCUCGAAAGCGUGGGGAGCAAACAGG